CAAACACCAACACAGAUCUUCCGGGAGCCGAAGAAAGCCAACCAGGUGGAUCAAGUACUGAACACCUAUUCCCGUUGUAUCGAGAGGUGUGCCCUUGAAUCAGGUGGACUUACCGGAGCCCUGUUGUUCUCUGUGGUCGGAGGAAAGAUGAGCGAGGGCAUCAACUUUUCGGACGAUCUGGGCAGGUGUGUUGUGAUGGUGGGCAUGCCAUACCCAAACAUAAAGUCCCCAGAGCUGCAGGAAAAGAUGUCAUAUCUGGACAAACACCUGGUGAGAAGUGUUUUCAGGUCAUAAUAUCCUGGGUUGGACCAGACAAAAAAUAAAAAGGAUAGAUAUCGGAAU